rnacentral:rRNA from 1 species
UGGGGAAUAUUGGACAAUGGGCGCAAGCCUGAUCCAGCCAUGCCGCGUGAGUGAUGAAGGCCUUAGGGUUGUAAAGCUCUUUCGCCGACGAAGAUAAUGACGGUAGUCGGAGAAGAAGCCCCGGCUAACUUCGUGCCAGCAGCCGCGGUAAUACGAAGGGGGCUAGCGUUGUUCGGAAUCACUGGGCGUAAAGCGCACGUAGGCGGAUUGUUAAGUCAGGGGUGAAAGCCUGGAGCUCAACUCCAGAACUGCCCUUGAUACUGGCAAUCUCGAGUCCGGAAGAGGUAAGUGGAACUGCGAGUGUAGAGGUGAAAUUCGUAGAUAUUCGCAAGAACACCAGUGGCGAAGGCGGCUUACUGGUCCGGUACUGACGCUGAGGUGCGAAAAGCGUGGGGAGCAAACAGGAUUAGAUACCCUGGUAGUCCACGCCGUAAACGAUGGAGGCUAGCCGUUGGCGAGCAUGCUCGUCAGUGGCGCAGCUAACGCAUUAAGCCUCCCGCCUGGGGAGUACGGUCGCAAGAUUAAAAACUCAAAGGAAUUGACGGGGGUCAUAGCUGUUUCCU